rnacentral:rRNA from 1 species
UAACGAAUAUUCCGCAAUGCGCGAAAGCGUGACGGAGCAAUGCCGCGUGCAGGAUGAAGCCCUUCGGGGUGUAAACUGCUGUCAGGGUACAGGAAGAAAGUGACCAUACCCAAAGGAAGGGCCGGCUAACUUCGUGCCAGCAGCCGCGGUAAUACGAAGGGCCCGAGCGUUAAUCGGAAUCACUGGGCUUAAAGCGUACGCAGGCGGACGUGCAGGCAUCUUGUGAAAGCCCUCGGCUCAACCGAGGAAUUGCUUGGUGAACCGCACGUCUUGAGCCAAGUAGGGGCUGUCGGAACGCUAGGUGGAGUGGUGAAAUGCGUUGAUAUCUAGCGGAACGCCAAAGGAGAAAUCAGGCAGCUGGGCUUGGUCUGACGCUGAGGUACGAAAGCGUGGGGAGCGAACGGGAUUAGAUACCCCCGUAGUCC